ensembl:snRNA U7 U7 small nuclear RNA
UAGCAUUACAGCUCUUUUGUAAUUUGUCUAGCAGGUUUUUUGGUAAAAACUAGAGAAACCCUC